rnacentral:lncRNA from 1 species
AGAAAAAAAAGUUUGUAGAAACAUAUACUUCUACCGAAAAGAAAAAGAGAAAAGAAAUGAAAAAUGGAGAUGAGAUGAAAAGCACUUGCCUAAGUCAAAGACUCAUGCCAUAAUGAGAUACUCAAAGAAAGAAAAAUUGAGUGAAGAAAAAAAAAGAGUCAAGUUGGACAACACCCCAUGAAAUAAGUUGUGUACAAAGAAUAGAAACA